ACGCUGGCGGCGUGCCUAAUACAUGCAAGUCGAACGCACGAAGUUGAAGAGCUUGCUCUUUAACCAAGUGAGUGGCGGACGGGUGAGUAACACGUGGGUAACCUGCCCAUUAGAGGGGGAUAACAUUCGGAAACGGAUGCUAAUACCGCAUAGUUUCAGGAAUCGCAUGAUUCUUGAAGGAAAGGUGGCUUCGGCUACCACUAAUGGAUGGACCCGCGGCGUAUUAGCUAGUUGGUGAGGUAAUGGCUCACCAAGGCAAUGAUACGUAGCCGACCUGAGAGGGUGAUCGGCCACACUGGGACUGAGACACGGCCCAGACUCCUACGGGAGGCAGCAGUAGGGAAUCUUCCGCAAUGGACGAAAGUCUGACGGAGCAACGCCGCGUGAGUGAAGAAGGUUUUCGGAUCGUAAAACUCUGUUGUUAAAGAAGAACAAGGAUGAGAGUAACUGCUCAUCCCCUGACGGUAUUUAACCAGAAAGCCACGGCUAACUACGUGCCAGCAGCCGCGGUAAUACGUAGGUGGCAAGCGUUGUCCGGAUUUAUUGGGCGUAAAGCGAGCGCAGGCGGUUCUUUAAGUCUGAUGUGAAAGCCCCCGGCUCAACCGGGGAGGGUCAUUGGAAACUGGAGAACUUGAGUGCAGAAGAGGAGAGUGGAAUUCCACGUGUAGCGGUGAAAUGCGUAGAUAUGUGGAGGAACACCAGUGGCGAAGGCGACUCUCUGGUCUGUAACUGACGCUGAGGCUCGAAAGCGUGGGGAGCAAAC
rnacentral:rRNA from 1 species